CCAAAACCACUCAAAAGCCACAGGCCAAAUGAAUCCACUUUCUGAAGUGCCCAGGGAGUGAGGGAGACACGGCUGUCUGUGUUCCCGCGCCCCGGCCCAGUGAAGCGUGGGCAGCACCACCACGGGAAGGGGCGGGUUAUGUCUCCCCAGCUGCCCCUACCGGGUCCCCAGCCCUGGGCUGACUGUGGGCAAUGGGAUGCGCGUUCAGGACACCCUCCUGUACUUGCAGGGCAGGUCCUGGCCCUGAGGGGUCUUCGGAUGCCUGCUGUGCCCUCUCGGAUCCCAGGGAAGGGCCCCAAGCGUGUCCCAGGCAGGGGACCCCAGGCUGGGGGCGGCAGGUGCACGCUGCCUCACUUCUCCAUCACCUGGGAACCGGGUGCCAGGACCGCACCGGGGAAGCUAUGAACAUCCACCUAUCAUGUCCAGGGCACAGGUCACAGAGAGAGAGAGGCAGAGACACAGGCAGAGGUUGAAGCAGGCUCCAUGCACCGGGAGCCCGACGUGGGACUCGAUCCCGGGUCUCCAGGAUCGCGCCCUGGGCCAAAGGCAGGCGCCAAACCGCUGUGCCACCCAGGGAUCCCCAGCCCCUGAGCUUCUGUGGUGAAAGAGGGAAAUGAGCUGAGCGGGGAAGGGAGGAGGGAAGGGCACAGAGUGGCCCUCUGUGACCCGGGGGCGUCUGAGACGGGGCAGAGGUGCUCUCCCCACCCUCACCUCCGCCCGCCCCCCCUCCCGCCACCUCUGUGCCCCGGAGCCCUUUCCCCGGGGAGGGGGACAGGGACAAUGCUGACAUGCUGACCUGUCUCUGCCUCUCUCUCUCUCUCUGUCUC